rnacentral:rRNA from 1 species
GACGAACGCUGGCGGCGUGCUUAACACAUGCAAGUCGAACGAUGAAGAAAAGAAUUGAAGCUUCGGCAGAAAUUCAUUUCGGAUUAGUGGCAGACGGGUGAGUAACGCGUGAGCAACCUACCUCUUACAAAGGGAUAGCCUCGGGAAACCGGGAUUAAUACCAUAUAACAUUGCGACGAAGCAUUUCGAUGCAAUCAAAGCUACGGCGGUAAGAGAUGGGCUCGCGUCCCAUUAACCAGAUGGUGAGGUGACGGCUCACCAUAGUAACGAUGGGUAACCGGCCUGAGAGGGUGAACGGUCACACUGGAACUGAGACACGGUCCAGACUCCUACGGGAGGCAGCAGUGGGGAAUAUUGCACAAUGGAGGGAACUCUGAUGCAGCGACGCCGCGUGAGUGAUGAAGGAAUUCGUUUCGUAAAACUCUGUUCUAUGGGAAGAAAAGGACUGUACCAUAGGAGAAAGCUCCGGCUAAAUACGUGCCAGCAGCCGCGGUAAUACGUAUGGAGCGAGCGUUGUCCGGAAUUAUUGGGCGUAAAGGGUGCGCAGGCGGCUUUACAAGUUGGAUGUGAAAUAUUGUGGCUCAACCACAAACGUGCAUCCAAAACUGCAAAGCUUGAGUUAAGGAGAGGUAAGUGGAAUUCCUGGUGUAGCGGUGGAAUGCGUAGAUAUCAGGAGGAAUACCGGUGGCGAAGGCGACUUACUGGACUUAAACUGACGCUCAGGCACGAAAGCGUGGGGAGCAAACAGG